AUUGAACGCUGGCGGCAGGCCUAACACAUGCAAGUCGAACGAGUGGCGGACGGGCGAGUAAUGUAUGGGAACCUGCCCGAUGGAGGGGUAUAACUACUGGAAACGGUAGAUAAUACCGCAUACGAUCGGUUGUGCCCAGAGGGGAUGAGCUAGUGGGUGGGGUAACGGCUCACCAAGGCGACGCGCCCUAGCUGAUCUGAGAGGAUGAGCAGCCACACUGGAACUGAGACACGGUCCAGACUCCUACGGGAGGCAGCAGUAGGGAAUAUUGGACAAUGGGCGCAAGCCUGAUACAGCCAUGCCGCGUGAGUGAAGAAGGUUUUCGGGUUGUAAAGCUCUUUCAGCAGAGAGGCGGUACCUAAACAGAAAGCAACGGCUAACUCCGUGCCAGCAGCCGCGGUAAUAC
rnacentral:rRNA from 1 species